rnacentral:rRNA from 1 species
GACGAACGCUGGCGGCGUGCUUAACACAUGCAAGUCGAACGGAAAGGCCCUGCUUUUGUGGGGUGCUCGAGUGGCGAACGGGUGAGUAACACGUGAGUAACCUGCCCUUGACUUUGGGAUAACUUCAGGAAACUGGGGCUAAUACCGGAUAGGAGCUCCUGCUGCAUGGUGGGGGUUGGAAAGUUUCGGCGGUUGGGGAUGGACUCGCGGCUUAUCAGCUUGUUGGUGGGGUAGUGGCUUACCAAGGCUUUGACGGGUAGCCGGCCUGAGAGGGUGACCGGCCACAUUGGGACUGAGGUACGGCCCAGACUCCUACGGGAGGCAGCAGUGGGGAAUAUUGCACAAUGGGCGGAAGCCUGAUGCAGCAACGCCGCGUGCGGGAUGACGGCCUUCGGGUUGUAAACCGCUUUCGCCUGUGACGAAGCGUGAGUGACGGUAAUGGGUAAAGAAGCACCGGCUAACUACGUGCCAGCAGCCGCGGUGAUACGUAGGGUGCGAGCGUUGUCCGGAUUUAUUGGGCGUAAAGGGCUCGUAGGUGGUUGAUCGCGUCGGAAGUGUAAUCUUGGGGCUUAACCCUGAGCGUGCUUUCGAUACGGGUUGACUUGAGGAAGGUAGGGGAGAAUGGAAUUCCUGGUGGAGCGGUGGAAUGCGCAGAUAUCAGGGGGAACACCAGUGGCGAAGGCGGUUCUCUGGGCCUUUCCUGACGCUGAGGAGCGAAAGCGUGGGGAGCGAACAGGCUUAGAUACCCUGGUAGUCCACGCUGUAAACGGUGGGUACUAGGUGUGGGGUCCAUUCCACGGGUUCCGUGCCGUAGCUAACGCUUUAAGUACCCCGCCUGGGGAGUACGGCCGCAAGGCUAAAACUCAAAGGAAUUGACGGGGCCCCGCACAAGCGGCGGAGCAUGCGGAUUAAUUCGAUGCAACGCGUAGAACCUUACCUGGGUUUGACAUGGAUCGGGAGUGCUCAGAGAUGGGUGUGCCUCUUUUGGGGUCGGUUCACAGGUGGUGCAUGCCUGUCGUCAGCUCGUGUCGUGAGAUGUUGGGUUAAGUCCCGCAACGAGCGCAACCCUUGUUCACUGUUGCCAGCACGUUAUGGUGGGGACUCAGUGGAGACCGCCGGGGUCAACUCGGAGGAAGGUGGGGAUGACGUCAAGUCAUCAUGCCCCUUAUGUCCAGGGCUUCACGCAUGCUACAAUGGCUGGUACAGAGAGUGGCGAGCCUGUGAGGGUGAGCGAAUCUCGGAAAGCCGGUCUCAGUUCGGAUUGGGGUCUGCAACUCGACCUCAUGAAGUCGGAGUCGCUAGUAAUCGCAGAUCAGCAACGCUGCGGUGAAUACGUUCCCGGGGCU